rnacentral:rRNA from 1 species
CCUACGGGAGGCAACAGUGGGGAAUAUUGCACAAUGGGGGAAACCCUGAUGCAGCGACGCCGCGUGAGUGAAGAAGUAUUUCGGUAUGUAAAGCCCUAUCAGCAGGGAAGAAAAGGACGGUACCUGACUAAGAAGCCCCGGCUAACUACGUGCCAGCAGCCGCGGUAAUACGUAGGGGGCAAGCGUUAUCCGGAUUUACUGGGUGUAAAGGGAGCGUCGACGGCAUGGCAAGUCAGAUGUGAAAGCCCGGGGCUCAACCCCG